CGCUGAAGUAAAAACCCAAGGAAAAGUGCUGCACAGAAAGCAAAAAAAAAAAAAAAGAAGAAGCACCAUGAGAAAAUGAAAUAACUGACGGCCAGGAGGAUGUAUGCAAACCUUAGUUUUUCACCGAACUCAACUUCAUGCUGAACUUCAUUGAUCCUUUACUGGCAGGUUGCGUUGCUCUAAUUGCACUGGCUGCAGCUUCGGUUAUCUCCCAAGAGCAAGCGAAUGUUUCUGCCUGAAGAAGCGAAACCAAAACAGCACUAUUGCUGCCGAUGCGACUAUGCGGGGUCUUGGAGCCUUCCCGUGGCCCCUGCUGCUCCUUCAACAGUCUGCCUGGGCAGUUCUGAGGGUGUCGGUGCCCUCAUUGCCAAUCCGUGCCUUACCAUUCUCUAAUGUACGGCUGCCUUGUAACAUCUCAGACUCCACAAGGGCCAUAGUCCUGAGUGAUCUGGCUGUAACAUGGAAAAGAGACCAGAAGGAUAUUGCUGAGUAUUUAAAUGGAUUCGACGCAAUAAGGCCUGGAGCAGAGAUGUCAGAGGAGCGACUGCUAGUGGGUGAUGCCUCCCUGCUGCUCCCACAUGUCCAAGAUGUGGAUUCUGGUGUUUAUACGUGUCAUGUUAUUUUUACGCCUGAAAAAGAAGAGGCUACCUUUGAGCUGAAAGUGGAGGCUGAGCCACGUGUAGAGGUUGGAUCCACAAAGUUGCAGCUUUUCAAGCCAGGUGCUGUGACGUGUACGGUGUCUGAUUUUUACCCCGAUGAUGUCUCUGUGGAAUGGCUGAAGGAUGGCACGAUUGUGAAAGACUCCAAACCACCCAUUAGCCAGGACAGUCACAACAACUUAUACAGUGUGACAAGCAUCUUGGAGCUCAUACCAAAUAUUUCUGAUGCAAGUGCCAAGUUCUCCUGCCGUGUCAGGCACAGAUCACUCAAAGGUCUGCUUAAAGAAAACUUCCACUUGCAACUACAAGCUCUCCCAAGCCUUCAGAUUUUCACGGUGGUGUCAACAGAGGCCCUUGAGGUGCUGGUGUGCCUAGUGAGUGGAUUCUACCCCAAAGACGUUCAAGUCCAUUGGCUGCGAAAUGGGGUGCCUCAACUGCAGAUAGAAUCUAAACCCCAGACAGUGAAUAAUGGGACAUUCUCCAUCCAGAGUAUCAUCCUGCCGCGAGAGACAGAUGAUGGAGUCGAGUAUGUCUGCCAGGUGCAACACAAAGCAUGGGAUGCCCCGGUGAAGUUGACAGCCCACUGGCAACCGAAAGCUGAAGGGACCACUGCCAUUCUGCCAUGGGUAUUGCUCGGGCUCGUUCUGGUGCUUGUCAUCAUAGCUGGAAUUCUGUUGGCUAUUAAGAAAGCCAAGAAUAAGAUGCAUCCAGAUACCAAAAACAAGGAUCACCUGAAAAAACUAGCUUCUGAAUCAGAAGAAGGCAUGCUUAAGCCAGAAUAUGACCCUGUCUCCGGUAGUACAACUACAAAGAUAUGAAUCCCUUUUGUGGUACCCCAACAAUCUGCUUUAUGAGUCAGAUCACUGACUCUCGAGAGAUGCAACUAACAGACUUGAUCUAUCUCCAACUCCUAAUUCAGUAAACUGUUUUGGUGGCACCCAAAGUAAAGUGCUGGAAUCAGGCAAGCAGCACCUAUGAUCUGGGUCACACAGUGCCUGACGCCCUGCAACGACUGCAAAAUCCAUCCAUCGUGGACAAUUCAGUGGAGGUAAAGGUAUCCUUCUCUCUCUCUCUGCACAACCUGAAGCCCAGGGGCAUAGACUUGGCAGUGCUGUUGGUGAGGACAAAUUUCUCUUGUUAUAUGUUUGCUCAGAUUUUUAAAUAUGAAGUGCAUGCUUUUAAUACCGGCAUUUUUGUAUUUCAGAAGUCUGUCUUGAAACCAUCUUUUUAAGAAAAAGGGGGAGGGGCAACAAACCAAAGUCAUAUAAAUGCAUUUUCAGACAACGCUAGCUAUAAACUUGCCAAGUGAAGUACAGUAUACUGCUGUUUUUUACUUAAAAAACUCAUAAAACUCACAAAACAGCAGGAGAGAACUCAGUUCAGAAUAUAGCAAAAUGCCUACAUUAGGAGGCAGACCAGACAAUACUUUUUCCAUGAGCUGGGCCAGGGCCUGAAUAGUCUCCUAAAAAGUCACAUGGGAGCUGCUAGGAAUGGUGCUGUGGACCAAAUUAGAUUCAUCCUGCAGCACUGUAGGGAGGAUGGGUUUCAGGACCUCAUUUGUGAAAAAAUACGUAAUUUGGAUUUAGAAAACAUUGGGUUUUAAGUCUUUAGAAACAUUUAGGAAAUUCUGGGUUGACCAUCCAUCCAACUACCUUCAGUUUUGCUUAGCAGUGCUCAUUGCAGCACAAAUAGACCCUCUCUACAGUUCUUUAGUAUAGAAAACUCCAGUCACAUAGAAGCGCUUAGCACACCUAUCAUGUACGCCCAUCUCUCCCUCAAAAUAUGUGACAGCUUUUGAAAAGUAGCCAAGACUUGCAUUUUUAUGAAGACUUUGAGGUGUCCACAGUAGACUGUAGCCCUGUAUACAGAGCAAAAUCAUGCCUAUCACCCCCACCCCCAACCUAUGCCUGGUUUAGCCCCUCACUGGCACAGAGGCAUUUGCAAACGAUACGAGCAUAGGUUCUGUCAAUGCCGUCAGAAUUCUGCAGCAUUUCUGACUGCCUGGACAUCCAUACUGCACAGCUUUUAGGCAUACUUGUAGCAGGCUCAUGUUUUUUUUUCUUUUGAACAUAUUUGCUGUGGUUUGCUUAAACCAUUGGCUUGUUGUUGCUGUAAAUGGGCAGGGGACCCGAGAACCUGGCUAAACCAGGUCCCUGUUUCCUGUCUAGCUGUUUUACGGCAGUAGGUGCAUUGUGAACUGUUUUCAACUGUUACAAGUGUUGUAAGUAGAACAAUUUCUACUGUGUAUGUUGCCAAACUGAAUAAAAACAUAUGAUUAA